UACGUAGGUGGCAAGCGUUGUCCGGAAUUACUGGGUGUAAAGGGAGCGCAGGCGGGACAGCAAGUUGGAUGUGAAAUACCGAGGCUUAACCUCGGGGCUGCAUCCAAAACUGUUGUUCUUGAGUGAAGUAGAGGUUGGCGGAAUUCCGAGUGUAGCGGUGAAAUGCGUAGAUAUUCGGAGGAACACCAGUGGCGAAGGCGGCCAACUGGGCUUUAACUGACGCUGAGGCUCGAAAGCAUGGGGAGCAAACAGG
rnacentral:rRNA from 1 species